rnacentral:rRNA from 1 species
UACGGAGGGUGCAAGCGUUGCUCGGAAUUAUUGGGCGUAAAGGGUAGGUAGGUGGUCUUAUUUGUCUGGGGUGAAAGCCUUGAGCUUAACUCAAGAAGUGCCCCAGAAACGGUGAGACUGGAGUCCUGGAGAGGGUCGUGGAAUUCCCGGUGUAGCGGUGAAAUGCGUAGAGAUCGGGAGGAACACCAGAGGCGAAAGCGGCGACCUGGACAGGCACUGACACUCAACUACGAAAGCGUGGGGAGCAAACAGG